UGGUACUUGAGAUAACGUAAGGGAAAAUAAUGAUACUACCUUACUAUAAGUGUUGUCCAAAUUACUGGUGCCAGAAGACUCGGUAACGCCAGAAACGCAAACGUUAGUCGUCCUAAUCAGGCGUAAAGGGUAAGUAGGCUGCUUUUAAAGUUUAUUAGUUUUAUAAGCUAUCUCCUAUUUUUAGGAGAAAAAUUAAAAAUGAAUAAAAGCUAGAAUCAAGAAUAGGAUAAGCCAAAUAAUGUUUAGAGUAGGUCUGAUAUCCCCACAUACUAAAUGGAAUACUUAAGGUGAAAACUUUUAUCUAAUACUGAUUGACGCUGAGGAACGAAGGUGAGAAUAGAAAAUAGGAUUAGAGACCCAGAUAUCUCUCACUGUCAACGAUGAAUGGUAGUUGUUAGUUUCUAUACAAACUAGUAACGAUGUUAACGCGUUAACCAUUCCGCCUUGCGAGUACG
rnacentral:rRNA from 1 species